UACGAAGGGUGCAAGCGUUACUCGGAAUUACUGGGCGUAAAGCGUGCGUAGGUGGUGAGUUAAGUCUGAUGUGAAAUCCCCGGGCUCAACCUGGGAAUGGCAUUGGAUACUGGCUCGCUAGAGUGCGGUAGAGGGUGGUGGAAUUCCCGGUGUAGCAGUGAAAUGCGUAGAGAUCGGGAGGAACACCUGUGGCGAAAGCGGCUCACUGGACCACAACCGACGCUGAGGCGCGAAAGCUAGGGGAGCAAACAGG
rnacentral:rRNA from 1 species